rnacentral:rRNA from 1 species
CAGUAGCCACGGUAAUACGUAGGGUGCAAGCGUUAAUCGGAAUUACUGGGCGUAAAGCGUGCGCAGGCGGUUUGUUAAGACAGAUGUGAAAUCCCCGGGCUCAACCUGGGAACUGCAUUUGUGACUGGCAAGCUAGAGUCUGGCAGAGGGGGGUGGAAUUCCGCGUGUAGCAGUGAAAUGCGUAGAUAUGCGGAGGAACACCGAUGGCGAAGGCAGCCCCCUGGGCCAACACUGACGCUCAUGCACGAAAGCGUGGGGAGCAAACAGGAUUAGAUACCCGUGUAGUCCCUGUCUCUUAUAC